CAUAUCAAUAAGCGGAGGAAAAGAAACUAACAAGGAUUCCCCUAGUAACUGCGAGUGAAGCGGGAAGAGCUCAAAUUUAAAAUCUGGUAGUCUCUGGCUGCCCGAGUUGUAAUCUAGAGAAGCGUUAUCCGCGCCGGACCGUGUACAAGUCUCCUGGAAUGGAGCGUCAUAGAGGGUGAGAAUCCCGUCUUUGACACGGACUACCGGGGCUUUGUGAUGCGCUCUCAAAGAGUCGAGUUGUUUGGGAAUGCAGCUCUAAAUGGGUGGUAAAUUCCAUCUAAAGCUAAAUAUUGGCGAGAGACCGAUAGCGAACAAGUACCGUGAGGGAAAGAUGAAAAGAACUUUGGAAAGAGAGUUAAACAGUACGUGAAAUUGUUGAAAGGGAAACGCUUGAAGUCAGUCACGUUGGCUUGGAAUCAGCCUUUGCUUUUGCUUGGUGUAUUUCCUGGUUUUAACGGGUCAGCAUCAAUUUUGAUCGGUGGAAAAAGGUCAGGGGAAUGUGGCAUCUUAGGAUGUGUUAUAGCCCCUGGUUGUAUACAUCGGUUGGGAUUGAGGAACUCAGCACGCCGAAAGGUCGGGUUUCCGAACCACGUUCGUGCUUAGGAUGCUGGCAUAAUGGCUUUAAUCGACCCGUCUUGAAACACGGACCAAGGAGUCUAACAUGCCUGCGAGUGUUUGGGUGGAAAACCCGAGCGCGUAAUGAAAGUGAAAGUUGAGAUCCCUGUCGUGGGGAGCAUCGACGCCCGGACCAGACCUUCUGUGACGGAUCCGCGGUAGAGCAUGUAUGUUGGGACCCGAAAGAUGGUGAACUAUGCCUGAAUAGGGUGAAGCCAGAGGAAACUCUGGUGGAGGCUCGUAGCGAUUCUGACGUGCAAAUCGAUCGUCAAAUUUGGGUAUAGGG
rnacentral:rRNA from 1 species